CUACGGGAUGCUGCAGUGAGGAAUAUUGCACAAUGGGGGGAACCCUGAUGCAGCAACGCCGCGUGGAGGAUGACGCAUUUCGGUGUGUAAGCUCCUUGUAUAUGUCAAGAAAAUGACGGUAGCAUAUGAAUAAGCACCGGCUAACUCCGUGCCAGCGAGCCGCGGUAAUACGGAGGGUGCAAGCGUUACUCGGAAUCACUGGGCGUAAAGGACGCGUAGGCGGGCUUGUAAGUCAGGUGUGAAAUCCUACAGCUUAACUGUAGAACUGCACUUGAAACUACGAGCCUAGAGUAUGGGAGGGGGAGAUGGAAUUAGUGGUGUAGGGGUAAAAUCCGUAGAUAUCACUAGGAAUACCUAAAGCGAAGGCGAUCUCCUGGAACAUAACUGACGCUAAGGCGUGAAAGCGUGGGGAGCAAACAGGAUUAGAUACCCUCGUAGUC
rnacentral:rRNA from 1 species